rnacentral:lncRNA from 1 species
CCAGCCUGAAAAGCACUUUUCUUAAACUUCAUUGUGUACUGGAAUCCCCAGAGAGACUUGUCAGCACACAGGCUGCCUAGCUAACCUCCAGGAUUUCUGAUGUAGUAGGUCUGGGUGGAGCCUGAGAAUUUCACAGCAGAUCACAGCUGCUGCUGGGAAGACUACAGUUGGAGAAUCGCUGCCUUAAAAUCUUCCCUGCAACCAGGGAGAUGAGUUUUGCUGUUCUGGUUAUUGGAAGUGCCAUACUACAUAGAAGUAUGAUUCCAUUCCUGCUCUUGACACUCACACCUGUAGUCUUCAUUAGUAUCCUGAUGUUUUUCAAAGCUGAGAACAUCCAAACCCCACUCCUCCGUCUUCCUUCCCUGUUUGUCUCAGCCCCUUGGUUCUGGCUGCCCUCUGAGGUCCUGCCCAUGCUCCCUGGUCUGUUCUCCUUGGCCGACCAUCUUUUCAUAGACACUGAUGUCUCAUUCUCCCUUUCCUCCUUUCUGUGCAUCCUCUUCUCCAGUUGUUCAUCUAGCACACACAUCCUUAGGAUUAUUCUGGUUCCGAGCGGUCCAGACUUACUGCCUUGUCUUCCUUGCAGUCUAGAAAAUGAGUAUUGACAGUGCAGUGUAAUAUGGUUUGAAAGAGGGAGGAGCCCGUCGGAGGUGGGAUAGGUGGAUUUCUCCAUCUUCUCAUUCACAAAUGUCUGACCAGCUCAGUCAUUCAUUCUUCAGAAUCUGCCCAUUCUGCACAUUGUUCUUUGAUCCCAUUUUUCUCACAGUCCUGAUGCUCUCAGACAACUCCCAAAUCCCCUUACUGAACCAGGGCUCAGUCUGCAUUGUCCAGGAACUCCUGCUCCUAGCUGGUGUGACAUUCACA